UACGGGGGGGGUAAGCGUUGUUCGGAAUUACUGGGCGUAAAGGGCUCGUAGGCGGCCAACUAAGUCAUACGUGAAAUCCCUCAGCUUAACUGGGGAACUGCGUGUGAUACUGGAUGGCUUGGAUUUGGGAGAGGGAUGCGGAAUUCCAGGUGUAGCGGUGAAAUGCGUAGAUAUCAGGAGGAACACCGAUGGCGAAGGCAGGUCACUGGGCCGCAACUGACGCUGAGGAGCGAAAGCAUGGGGAGCGAACAGG
rnacentral:rRNA from 1 species